rnacentral:rRNA from 1 species
CGGAUGAAGAGAGCUUGCUCUCUGGAUUCAGCGGCGGACGGGUGAGUAACACGUGGGCAACCUGCCUGUAAGACUGGGAUAACUCCGGGAAACCGGGGCUAAUACCGGAUAACUUCUUUUCCCGCAUGGGGAGAGGUUGAAAGACGGUUAUGCUGUCACUUACAGAUGGGCCCGCGGCGCAUUAGCUAGUUGGUGGGGUAACGGCCUACCAAGGCGACGAUGCGUAGCCGACCUGAGAGGGUGAUCGGCCACACUGGGACUGAGACACGGCCCAGACUCCUACGGGAGGCAGCAGUAGGGAAUCUUCCGCAAUGGACGAAAGUCUGACGGAGCAACGCCGCGUGAGUGACGAAGGCCUUCGGGUCGUAAAACUCUGUUAUCAGGGAAGAACAAGCAUCGUUUAACUGACGGUGCCAUGACGGUACCUGACCAGAAAGCCACGGCUAACUACGUGCCAGCAGCCGCGGUAAUACGUAGGUGGCAAGCGUUGUCCGGAAUUAUUGGGCGUAAAGCGCGCGCAGGCGGCUUCUUAAGUCUGAUGUGAAAGCCCACGGCUCAACCGUGGAGGGUCAUUGGAAACUGGGAGGCUUGAGUGCAGAAG